UGGUGGAGUGAUUUGUCUGGUUAAUUCCGAUAACGAACGAGACCUUUGGCUGAAAUUGGUAGGUUGCAUUUUUAAGAUGGAGCGAUGAUUUUCAGCGACACCUGGUGUUAAGCCAGGGGAAGUUAAAGGCAAUAACA
rnacentral:rRNA from 1 species